rnacentral:lncRNA from 1 species
CGGGGCUGGUCCGGCCUUGCUGUCUUUCCCCUGGCAGUUCUCAAGUCCAGGGGGAGGGGUCCUGGGCCAACUGGGGUCUGCCAGGCCAUCCCCGCAGCCCUACUCCACCCCACCCCACAGAGACCCCUGCCUCCCAUCUGAGAGGACAGCUCUCUUCCCGGAGCUGGGAUCUGACGCUUGCUGGUGCCAACAGCAGAUACCAGGUAGGCCCCCUCCCUGUUCUGGGCACCUUCUCUCCCCCCUGAAUUCCUAAAGCACGGCCCAUACAACCCUCCUCACCCUGAAACCCUCCUCACCCUGGAUAAGGCCACAUUGGCUUAAUCCAAUCAUGACCUCGCAAAACUUCAAGACUGGAAAGGGUGUCUCAGCCAACCCACCCAUUUGGUGGAUGGAGACACUGAGGUCCCCAGGGUAGUAGCAGCUGGCUGUAGGCUGCACCACAGACCUUAGGGCCCUCACUGAGCCCCAGAGGGUGGAAGGAACAUGCUCAAAGCCACACAGUGGUGGGGGGAGGGGGGAGCUUUGCCUUAACAAGAAGACCGCAAGCUCUGUGAGGACACUGGUGCUUCAUCACAACCCUCAAGGGCCCUGGAAACACCUCCUGGGGACCGUGGAUGGUGGAGCGUUCGUUCCCUCAAUCACUGAUGGCCACUGGGUUGCCACGGGAGUACUUCCGAGAGGAAGAUGAGGGAACUCAGGGCUGAAGGCCAGCAGAUUUGGAAGGAAACAAACUUCGUGUGGUUAACUGAUAACUGGCCCCAUCCUUGGGCCCCCAGAAGCCUCCUUCCUCCCUCUUCUCAGCACGAUUAAGACGAAAUUACCUGCCUGCUAAUCAUUGCUGAGCCUGUUGAUUUUGCCUUAAAAAAUUAACUGGGCAUGAGUUUGUGGUUUGCCUCACCCCUAACCCUGAAAAGGCCUGGGUGGGCAGGAGGCCACCCGGGUUAUGCAAGAGGCUGCUGGCCUCCCCACGCACAUCCAGCGCCUCCUCUCCUGCUCUCCAAAGACUAGGUUUUGCUCAAGAGUCAACAGUCUGCUUGUUCCCUCUGCUCUGGGUCCUGAGCAAAUUUGCUCUUUUACCAAAGAGAGAUAAAGGCAGCUGGGGGGGGAGGGGGGGCUUUACAAACAGGGAUGCAGGGCGGCAGCUUUGAGCAUGGGAUUCUAGAAUCCUGCAGUGUCAGAGGCUGGAGAGUGCGGGCCAGAGCCUUUCAAAUGGGAUCUGAGGUUCCUAGGAGCCAAGGGAGGGUACGCACAGGCCCGCUUCACCCAGGGCCUGCCUCUUAGAUGCUCUCCCAUUAAUACUUCCUUUGAAAGGUAGAGGCAGAGCCGGUGUUGGGAACCUGAAAGAUGCUGGGCCAACCUCAGGAUAUCCCUUCCCUCCAUGUGCAGAUGGUGGAGGGAUGGGGGCUCAUCCAGGGACAGGAGGUCGCCCCCCGUGUCCUAGGUCUCCAGCUAGCCUGAGGAAGACAGGGGCUCUCUCUGGACUCGGUGAUGUGUUCUAGACAUUAGGGAACAAGAUGCACUGAAAAUGCCCUGCUUUGCCCAUCACCCCCCCCGCCCACGGCUGGCUCGAGCAGAGAGGUGCCUAGAGCCACUUCUGGAGAAUUCACCUGGCCCUGAGUCCUGUGGGCCCUCUGAGGAGCAGCCAUGAGCAGCAAACAAGGCCUCCAACUUAUGGCUCGCCUCGGCUGCGUCCUCAGUGUCAGACCACAGAGCAAGACGCAGGGCCCUUCCCUGACUCUGCUCCUCUCUUGAAUCCGGUUCCUCGCCCGCGAUUGGGAAUAACAAUACCUAACUCAUAGGCUCGCUAUGAGGACGAAACGGAGCACGGGUGACCAUGGCUGAUGCUAAGGAAGCUGUUUUGCAGGCUUUACACGUGUUACCACGUUAACCCUCACAACCAAUCUGUGAGGUAGGCAGUAUUUUUAUCACCAUCUCGCAGACCUGAGGCACAGAGGUUUGAGUCACAUGCCCAAGCUCACACAGUGUGUGAGAAGCAAGAGCUGGGAUUCCAGCCUGAGCGGUCUGGCUCUCCAGAGUCUGUGCUCUUAACCCAGAGGCUACACCGCCCGUCCAGGUGCCCCAUGCAAGUUGGCGAGUAUGACAUUAAAAUAAGCUCCCUCCUGAGGCGUGUGCGGGCUCUGUGCAUGGACUGUGUGGGCUGGAGAAGGCCUGAGAUGGAAGGCCGGUCUCUGGGCUGGAGUGGUCAGGGAUGGAUUCCUGGAGGAGGUGGCGUCCUGGGCAGAAGGGACACCCAGAAGUGGAGAACGUGGCGAGUGAUGACGGAAGGACAUGGAAGCCUCUCUGGCCAGAGAGCAGGGCAUUGUGGGAGAUGCCGACUACAAGGCUCAGGAGGUAGGGUAGAGCCUGUGGUCUGGAGAAUGAUCAGGAAGCAAGCCAGGAGGACUUGGGUCUGUGUAGGCGGGGCCUUUCUGAGGGCUGCCUCCUGCCAGGUGGCUUGUGACUUCUGGGCUGAGGCUGUUGUUGUUCUGUUUAUGUCCUUCCCUCCCCCCCCCCCCCCCCCCCCCCCCCCCCGAUUAUGUUCCUGACUUUAUCUGCAGAAGUGACCUUCGGAGUUAGAUGGGGCCUGCCCAGCCCCUGUGGGGCCUGAAGGAUGAUAGCAAGCCCCUGCCUGGCCCAGGCCCUGGUCAUGGUGUAAGGGGUGAACCCAUAUCCCAGGAACCACCCUGGGUCUCCCUGCACCCUUGUACUGAAGGGCCCCAGAUAUUUGCCUGAAAGUCACUGAGAUGUACCUUUUGGGAGUCCUGAGAUGCAGGCGAGGAAUCAGUUGUACAGGUUGCUCACUGCACAAAGUUGUACAGGUUGUACAACUGCAUACAGUUGUACAGGUUACUCACUGCACGAAGCUUCUCUGUGCAAGGAAGUGAGUCAGUGUAGAAAUCUAGUCCUUGUUCCACUUACCAAACCAAGUGCCUAUGGAAAUUUGUCUGCCCAGAGGACAGCACGUCUUAUUUAUUUUCAAAAAGGCUCCAUGAGAGCCCUGCCUCAGCUCAGCUUCCAGCCACUGACCUUGGGCAAGGUCAUUUUCCUCCCUGGCCUCGGUUUCCUAUUUGAAAAGUUGUCUAGCAUAAAGCAGCGAUUCAGCCCUGACAGUGAAUUAGAAUCACUUGGGACCUUUAAAAGAAUAUUGAUGCCCAGGACCCAUCACAGACCAAUGAUCAAAUCUUGGGAUUGGGGUGAGUGGGUGCUAGGCAUCAGUAUUUUUUAAAGUUCCUAAGUGAUUCUAGGGGCGCCUGGGUGGCUCAGUCAGUUAAGCGUCCAACUUCGGCUCAGGUCAUGAUCUCGCAGUUCAUGAGUUCGAGCCCUGUAUUGGGCUCUGUGUUGACAGCUUGGAGGCUGGAGCCUGCUUCGGAUUCUGUGUCUCCCUCUCUCUCUGCACACCUCCCCCCCACCCCACCCCCGCCUCGCUUGUUCUCUGUCUCUGUCUCUCUCUCUGUCUCUUUCUGUUUCUAUCUAAAAAAUAAAUACACAUUAAAAAAAAUUAAAAAAAAAAAAAAGAGAGAGAGAGGCCUAGUGGUGCACCCAUGGUCUGCAACUCACUAGUUGCAACUUCAGUGAGGCUCAGUUUCCUCAUCUGUAAAAUGGGAACGAUGAUAGCUUCCUGGUAGUCAGAAUGCCUACUCAGUGAGAAGAUAUUCAGAUAGCACCUGGCACUAUGGCUAGCAUGUAGAGACCUCCUGAUUCUUGGUACCAGUGAGCAUUAUUUUGCAGUUGGCAAACGAGAUUGGCUUGAAAUAAAGGGCCUUUCCAGGUCAAAGUCAGAGACUCAAAGGCAGGCUUUCUCUGUGACUUGUGUCAAGUCCUAGCACUUUGGUCUCAGUCCUGGCUAUACUCCUGUUAUAUUGUUGAGGUAUGUGUGAUUGUCAUUGCUACGUGAUAUUUUACCAAUUUGUUAAAAUUUUUAUUUAAAAUUUUUUUCUUAACGUUUCUUUAUUUUGAGAGACAAAGAAAGAAGAGCAAGUAGGGGAGAGGCAGAGAGGGAGAGAGAGAAUUCCAAGCCGACUCUGCACUGUCAGCGGAGAGGCCCGAACUCACAAACCGUGAGAUCAUGACCAGAGCCCAAAUCAAGAGUUGGACGCUUAACCAACUAAGCCACCCAGGCGCCCCAUGUUAAAAUUUUGUAAUUAAUUUUUGAAUCAGUACUUCAUUCACAUGGUUCAAAAAUCAAGGGGCGCCUGGGUGGCUCAGUCAGUUAAGCAUCUGACUUUGGUUGAGGUCAUGAUCUCACGGUUCCUGAGUUCAAGCCCCGCGUCGGGCUCUGCGCUGACAGCUCGGAGCCUGGAGCCUGCUUCAGAUUCUGUGUCUCCCUCUCUCUCUGCCCCUCCUCUGCUCAUGCUCUGUCUCUCUCUCAAAAAUUAACAUUAAAAAAUUUUUAAAUGAGAACAAUAAAAAAACUUGGAGAAGUCUUGGUCCCCUUCUCCCCACUGCCCACCAGUCCACUCCUUGUCCUCACCACAGGCCACGACUCCUCUCACUUCUUUACGCCUCUUCCUGGUUUGCUCCACGCAUACCAGAUCGGGUGUUAUCCCCUGUCCCUCCACUGCUCUGUACUUCGAGUUGAUGAUUUAAUGGCACAGCUGCAGCCGCUGAGAGCAAGGCUUGGAGGAAGGAAGGGUUGUUGCCCCCGCCUCACAGGGGAGGCAAGUGAGGCUCACCUUGCUGGGUCAACAGUGUUUUGAGCUGUCUCUACCUGGUUCCAGAGCCGUGUUUGUCCCCAGGCCCCAGUGUGGCCUUCCAGAAAACCUGACCCUGUGAGCUUUGGAGACUGACCUAAAUCUCUCUGCUGCUGGCCUGGCAGGAGGUGGGGUGGGGAUGGGCUGGUAGGGCCCCCACGGCGUCUGGACCCUGAAGACACAGAGAGGCUGAAGCGGGGAACAAAAAAUGUCCACAGUCAUCCAGAUGGUGACUCAGCCAGGGGAUGUCCCCUGGAUGGGACGGUUAGGGCCUGGCGGCCAUGUCCUCCGGUGGAGUGGAGCCUACCCGGAAGUCUCGGUCAGCCUCUGGGAGACAGGAAGGGUCAGGAGGAGGAGAGGGAGGGAGGGAAGGGGAGCGUGGCCAACGGGACAGCCCCGGGGGAAGAAGACUAGGGGGCCCCCUUUGUGGAGGUCAGGGAGGAGCAUUUGGACUUCAAGGCAAGGGGACGAUGUCAUCUUAAUCACUGCCUUCUGCUCAGGCGACCCCAGGGCUGCCUCUGGAUUGUCCACCGGCUCCAGUUCACUAACUCACUGACUGUGGGCAGUCACUUUCCUUCUCUGUGCCUCAAUUCCCCAAACUGCAAAAUGAAGGAGAUUGGGUAGCUGGUCUUUAGCUAAAAGACUCUGUAACGCUCCCCUCACCUUGUUGAGGGAAUCUGGAUCUGCCUUGAUCAGAAUGGCAUCCGCCUAUCAAAGACCCUGGGCCUUCCUGGGUUGGGGGCCAGGGGUCCAAGGCCUCUGCACUGCUCCAAAACCUGGACUUCUCCCCUGAGUCGUGUGUCUCUCUUCCGCCACCCCGUCCUCCUCUCCAGGUAGAUGUGGAGUCCGGACCAUACCUGGGAGGUGCUGGGGGAAGCCCUGGCCCCAGUCUGACAUCCUCCUCCUGGUGUUAUGGGAUCCCGCACAGUGAGCAACCUCUUCAUCCUGGGGGAGCCCCUGCUGCCACCCUGGCACCCAAGACCCUGUGAGGGCUGCGGGGCAGCGCUAAUCUCUUAAUACUGGUCACAAUGAGAUUUCAGGGAUGGUAGGAGGUGGUCUCCAUAGAAACCGUGGACCCGCCCAGGACCCAUGCAAGGAAUUAGCCACAGGGCUCAGCAAGGGGGUCCUGGAGACCCAACCCAAACAGGAACAGGAAGUACAGCAUCCUGGACUCCUGGGUCCUGCCUCCGCCCUCCCGUGGUUUCUCAGACGGCUGGCGACAAACCGUACCCCUUGUACUGCCUCAGUGUUCUCCUGUGAAACUGGACGGAGCCACAUUCACAGGGACAGCUCCGUUACCUUUCUGAGCCUCAGUUUCUUCAUCCUCCAAUUGGGGUUCCAAUCCCUAACCCGGGGGCUUUUUGAGAACAGUGCAGGCUUCAGAGUCUGUCAGACAUGAGUCUGAAGCUCAGCUUUUGCCACUCAUUUGGCAGGCCAAGCAUUUCACUUCUCUCACUUUGCUCAUCAAUACAAUGGGCACAGCGAUACCAACCUAGCAUCACUGUUGUAGCUGACUGCUGGGUACGGAUACUCAGUGGACGAGUCUCCUCCUCUGCUCUCUCUGAUUGCCCCACCCAUACUGCACAUCGGUCCCCCACCCCUAGCCACUCGCCUCUUUCAAAUCCCACAGCCUCCGCCUUGGCUCUGGCCUUUGCACAUGCCAGGCCUUCUGCCCAAAGCUGCUGUCACACCUUUCUAUUCUCCCCUUCCCCCUCCAAGCUCCAUCUUGGACUCCUCCUCUGGGCAGCCCUCCUGGUUCCUCCUUUGUGCUCACCUGGCCCCCAACACUUUACACCAUCACAGUGUAGUCAAAUGGUGGUUGCUGCUUGCGUCUCUGCCUCCCCCAUUGGACUGUGUCCCAUUUACUGUUAAAUUCCCAGGACCCAGCUGGAACUUAAUAUAAUGGGGUGGAUGGACAAAUGAGUGAAUGAACGAAGGAUUCUAUCCAUCCAAUCAUUUAACCUUUAUUCAGCAUUUUCCACGUGCACCACUGCAGGUGUGGGAUACAGCUGUGAAGGCAAGAGGCAAGAUUCCUCCCCCACAGACUUGCAGGGUGCCCAGGUACAUUUAAGAUAAACAUCGAAUAAUGUUUUAAUAUAAAUAUGUACCAAAUAACGCAGGAAGCAUACUUACACUUAAAAAGUAAGUUGUUGUUUAUCUCAAAUUCCAAUGUAACUGGGCAUUCUUUGGCAUGUCUGGCCCUCCCUAUUCCCUCUCUCACAGAGCUUACAUUUUGAUGGGGAGGUGUGAUGCAGAGACAGUAAGCAAGCAGAUAAAUGUUUCAAAAGAGAAUGUCAGGGGCGUUUAGGUGGUUCAGUUGGUUUAGCUUCCAACUUUGGCUCAGCACAGAGCCCACAUCUGAAAGUCUGUACCCCCCCUCCCCCCCGACCAGCCUCUCUGCUCCUCCCCCACUCGCACGUGCAUUCUCUCAAAAAAUUUUAAAAAAAAUUGAAAGAGAAUUUCAAAUACUGACGAAGUGCAAUGGCAAGACGAAACUGCAGGUUGUGCUAGCGCCUGGGGAUGACAGGGGGUGUCUUUGGAGAGGGUGAUCUCCCUAGUGGCCCUGACCUACGUGGCACAGUUCUAAAUCCCAAAGAGAUGCUCCUUUCGUAAAGUCCUUUAAGGAUUUUAAAGGGCUUGGUGGAGGCUAUUCAACUUGAGAGAAGGACUCCGAGGCGGGCAGAGGGCGCCUUGGAGGGAGGGGAGCUGCCCUGUCUCCUUUGACAGACUCCACAAUUUUGCGUUUUGGAUCUGGGCCUUCACAAACCUUCACCAACUCUCUGCCCCACCCCUCGGUCAGCCAAUGUCCUCUGCGGGGCUGGGAGCCAGAGGAAGGGGCCAAAGGGGCUGUGCAGAGAAGCGUGGCCACCCGGGCCAGAACUGGGAGUUCUAACUCCGUCCCCCACACCCCCACCCCAGUCCCGCGGUUGCCUGAGGGCACAGGGCAGAACCAGCUGUCGCUGCAGAACCGGAGGGCUUCGGGGAGGAAGCGGCUCAGACACGCCGAAGAGCCUCGCUUUGCGCAUCCCGGGCUCCCCCUAGUGGCCAAUGCUGGAUUGGCGCUGAGAAACUUUCAAAUAACCGCACAGGUUUAACCAAUCACAGCGGAAGUAGCAUUACAAUCCCACCAAUCACAGGCCAAGACGGACUAAUCUCUCCAAACCCAGAGGGAAGGCAGCUCGACCGGUUCACCAGUCACCGCUCUCUGGGUUUAGUCACCGAGCAAGCUAACAGCCCCGCAUUGACACACCAGCCCUUGGCCACUGCACCAAUAAGAAAGCAAGAUUUUAAAACUUGCUCCCCAAGGCUGGUCUGGCGCUGCCCUUACAUCAUCUAUGAAAUUUAUAUUCCCGACACUUGGUCCCACGUGCCCGCGCCGUUGAGUAGGGUGCCAGACCUCGUGCUGGCUCCACUGAUAGUGUAUAUUUGCAUUCAGGGGCAUUUAUGUAUUUUCACAUUUAAAGAUAGUAAUGGCAUUAAAUAUCAUCCCCCCCAUUAUAGAAAUUAAGGUAUGGGUCUGGGGAGAGUGGAGAAGGUAGGACCUUGGGAGUAGACACACCAGAACUGGAGUUCAGUUACUAGGUUAGUGAAGGACAAUUCACUCCCCCUUCCUCAUUCCUUGAAAGAGAACAAUAGUAAUCACACCUGCAUUGUCAUAGUCCAUCACCCCACACCCUGGGAGUCACUAUCUUUGUGUUCCUCUCUCCCAAAUCAUCAGAAAAUCCAGUGCUUGCCACCUUUAACAGUAACUCAGAUUUUCACCAUCUUUCCACCUGCACCACAGUCAACCUCGUCCACAUCAGUAUCAUCUCUGGAGGUCUGCGAAAGUCUCUUCACUUCUUUUCUCCCUACCACGCACUCUUGCGGGGGGGGGGAAUGAUUCUUUACACACAGACUGCAUCAGGCCCCCCCAUACUGAAACUUUAAUGGCUUCCUACGCAUUUAUAAUUAAACUCAUAAAAUUCAAAACUCCCGUGGACCUUGUGUGUCUAUCCCUGCAUCCCCAGCCUCCAUUUCAUUCCAUUCUCCCUAGUCCCGUGGCUGCAGCCACACCAGCCUUUUGUGUCUGGCUCAGCGUCUUUGCACAUUCUUUUUUUCUUUGCCCGGAAAAUGGUUCCUUGGGCCCUAUCUUUGAAUUCCUCUCCUUUCCAAUUACCCUUCUCUGGGUAUCUUUUCAAAGCAGUGACAAAUCCUAUCUCAGCCGAAGCCCAAACUGCUGUGUCCAGCUUCAGGGAACAAACAAACCUGACCACAGAGUUCAGCCGCAACUCUACGAAAAGCCUGCAACCAAAAGGCAUCCCGAGUUGCUGCCGGGGAGCAGCACUAGCUUAACAGAAUGGUGCGGUCAGACGGUCUUAUCCUUGGCGGACCAGAGCCCUUCUCUGAGAACAGGUGCUGAAGGCCCCUUGGUGGGGCUGGUCAUCGUGGUCAGAGACAGACUCAGUCUCCUUUCCUAGACCCACCUUUCAGAUUGCUUUACUCACUAUCUGCCAGCUGUUCUCAACUGUUCCUCCUCUCUCGUUUCAGGCGCAUGACCGGAUUACUCUUUCUUGCUUCCUUUGAAGUUAGAUGUGACCAUGUGACUUGUUCUGGCCAAUGAAAUGAGAGCAGAAACAACUGGUGCAUCACACCCGGGCAGAAGCUUGAAGGGCCCGCGCAGCUGGGGCUGUUUCAGAAGCACGUACGGAAAUGGAGUCAUCAGGGUGGGGAGUGCACCCCACAAGCCCCUGAUGGACAAGUACUGUAAGUGAGCCAUCGGCUCAGCUGUGUAAGCCACUGGGACUUAGGGCCUUUUUGUCAUUACAGCACAGCCUCACCUAACUUGACUGCACAGGAUCUUUCCAAAGGUCACUGAUUUUCCUCUGGCCCUUAUGAUUUUUGUUGUAUUUGGAAACCUCCCAUACUAAUACUAAACAUUUUUCUUACAUCGACACACUUAUUUUUAUUUAGAUUUAUUUUAGAAGGAAAUGUUAUUACUACCAAGUGAAACACCAGUAUCUUAAGUAGAAAGCGAUGGGAAAAUAAAUGGAAUGAUAUAAACUAUUAUAACAUAUCCUGAAUUAAAUAAUACUGUUGUGGGUGAAAGCCUCUGAGCCCUUAGUCUGUUCUUUA